UAUACAACUAUCCCCCACACCCAAAAGCUUAAGGCCCGUAUCCGUACCCCUUCAUUCCACAGUAGACUAAUAGUUGACAACUACUUAUCAAAGCACACAAACGAAGAACAUGUUUAAUAUUCUUUGCGGACACCCCAUAAAACUUGGCUAAUACCCGGGUUCAGUCUUUUUUAUGACAUUUCCUCAGCCCGGGUGAGAAAGCCCUGUUUGUUCUGGGAGAAAUUUCGCCCGCUAAAAGAAACUGCAAAUAAAGUUGACCGAAAUGUUUAUGGCACUAUGGAGGAGAGGGAGGAGCUACAGAGGGCUGGAAGAGCCAAAAGUUCCCCCAGAAAGAAAGUUCCAGGCCCGGCGAGAAUUGACCCAAAUUGAUAAACUGAAACUGUUGAGGCCAAGAGAGACAAUCUCUUGGGUUUUGAAAGCCAUCGAAUUUGGUUUUGGGAACAUCGAACACUAAAAGAAAAAGGCCGCCAAUCGAGCUUAACCCUGCAGUUCAAACGGAUCUCGGCUGUUGCAUUUAUCUUAUUUUGCAAAAGAUAUUGCAUUGCCGGCAGAAAACAAUGUGCAACCAAAGUGGGGCAACACCGCGGGACUUGGGUAACCCAGCUAAAAAUGAAGUAGAUGCUCCAACAGUGCAACAGAUCUCUUCCUCCGAUCUCCGCCACACUUGGCUGACUUUGCCGAGUUCAACCUUUGAGUUCAGGCCGCCGUAGGGCUCAUCUUUGACACAAUUCUCGAGCGAUUUUGGCCCUGAAAGCAAUUGACAUUUGACACCCCAUUAAGUGCCACUUUGUGGCCAGGUAAUACUAUGUACUGCGCCCAAAAGAACAUACCCCAAAAGUUUAUAAUCUGCCCUCGAACUGGGUCACCCACAAUUUGUUUUCGUUUUUAUUUUUCGCUUUUUCCCCUUUUACGCUCUCUAAAUGUUUUGAUUCUGCCAGCCACGGCUGCGCUUUAAUUAAAUCAAGCAGCCAUUCGGAUGGAUCCCUUCCUGCCCCUCGUCACGACCAUUUCUCUGGCGGUCUCUGAUUCCGCUGCCCUGUGGCCAAUGACUUUCGCUUUGCCUCGGGCGGAUAAAAUCUAGUUUGUUUACAAAUUUUAUUUAUUUUCUGCAUUAGUUAUGCAUUCUACAAAAAAUCGUUCAAAAUGAAUCAUUCUCAAAUAAAUUGGAGAAGCUCGAAAAAUCCCCUACCUAAAGUCGAGAUGGAGAGGGUUAGUCUAAAAAACAGGCUUGGGAGGCGUUUAAAAUGACUUGGAAUUAAUAAAUUAUAUACCUUUGUUUAUUUUUCUUUCCUUUCAAAUUAAAAUGUUUCUUAGAAUAUAUUUAUUAUUCAAAUUGUUAACAUAAGUCAAGUAAGAAAAACCAUUUCCUAAUACAAUUCAAGCUAAAGCUCAAUCAUGUUUAACACGAAAGAACUGAUCUAAAUUGCAUUUGACACAGUUAUGUUCUGGUCUUGCUGAGCCAGAGAACUAUGCUUAAGAAAUUCCAAUUAAAACAAAACUCCCAAACAAAA